AGCGACCUUGCCUCGUGGUGGGGGAUAGCCGGCCCAACGGCCGGGUAAUACCGCAUAUGGUAGUUCUUUCGCAUGGGAGAACUAGCAAAGCUGAGUCGUAAGACUUGGCGCCACAGGGGGGCUCGCGGCCUAUCAGCUAGUUGGGGGGGUAAUGGCCCACCAAGGCGACGACGGGUAGCUGGUCUGAGAGGAUGGCCAGCCACAUUGGGACUGAGAUACGGCCCAG
rnacentral:rRNA from 1 species